rnacentral:rRNA from 1 species
CACAAGCGGUGGAGUAUGUUGUUUAAUUCGAAGAUACACGAAGAACCUUACCAGGUCUUGACAUACCAUUGACAGGUGCAGAGAUGUACCCUUCUUCGGACAAUGGAUACAGGUGGUGCAUGGUUGUCGUCAGCUCGUGCCGUGAGAUGUUGGGUUAAGUCCCGCAACGAGCGCAACCCCUUUCUCCAGUUACCAUCAUUCAGUUGGGGACUCUGGAGAGACCGCUGCAGUAACAAUGCAGAGGAAGGUGGGACGACGUCAAGUCAUCAUGGUCCUUAUGUCCAGGGCUACACACGUGCUACAAUGGUAGUUACAGAGGGGAGCGAAGCCGUAAGGUGGAGCGAAUCUCAGAAAAGCUGCCACAGUUCGGAUUGAGGUCUGCAACUCGGCCUCAUGAAGCUGGAAUCGCUAGUAAUCGCGUAACAUCAUGACGCGGUGAAUACGUUCCCGGGCCUU